UGGGGAAUAUUGGACAAUGGGCGAAAGCCUGAUCCAGCAAUGCCGCGUGUGUGAAGAAGGCCUUCGGGUUGUAAAGCACUUUCAGUAGUGAAGAAGGAUGUAUAGUUAAUACCUAUAUAUUUUGACGUUAGCUACAGAAGAAGCACCGGCUAACUCUGUGCCAGCAGCCGCGGUAAUACAGAGGGUGCAAGCGUUAAUCGGAAUUACUGGGCGUAAAGGGUGUGUAGGUGGUUGGAUAAGUUAGAUGUGAAAUCCCCGGGCUUAACCUGGGAACUGCGUUUAAAACUGUUUAACUAGAGUGCUGUAGAGGAUAGUGGAAUUUCCAGUGUAGCGGUGAAAUGCGUAGAUAUUGGAAGGAACACCAGUGGCGAAGGCGACUAUCUGGACAGACACUGACACU
rnacentral:rRNA from 1 species